rnacentral:tRNA from 1 species
ACCUAAAUAGUUUAAUAAAAAUAUUGAUUUGUGGUGUCAAUGAUGUAAAAUUUUACUUUAGGUC